rnacentral:rRNA from 1 species
UGGGGAAUAUUGGACAAUGGGGGCAACCCUGAUCCAGCCAUGCCGCGUGAGUGAUGAAGGCCUUAGGGUUGUAAAGCUCUUUCACCCGGGACGAUAAUGACGGUACCGGGAGAAGAAGCCCCGGCUAACUUCGUGCCAGCAGCCGCGGUAAUACGAAGGGGGCUAGCGUUGUUCGGAAUCACUGGGCGUAAAGCGCACGUAGGCGGACCGUUAAGUCGGAGGUGAAAUCCUGGGGCUCAACCCCAGAACUGCCUUCGAUACUGGCGGUCUCGAGUCCGGAAGAGGUGAGUGGAACUGCCAGUGUAGAGGUGAAAUUCGUAGAUAUUGGCAAGAACACCAGUGGCGAAGGCGGCUCACUGGUCCGGUACUGACGCUGAGGUGCGAAAGCGUGGGGAACAAACAGGAUUAGAUACCCUGGUAGUCCACGCCGUAAACGAUGAAUGCCAGCCGUCGGGCAGCAUGCUGUUCGGUGGCGCAGCUAACGCUUUAAGCAUUCCGCCUGGGGAGUACGGUCGCAAGAUUAAAACUCAAAUGAAUUGACGGGGUCAUAGCUGUUU